rnacentral:rRNA from 1 species
CUACGGGGGGCAGCAGUUAGGGAUAUUCUGCAAUGCGCGAAAGCGUGACAGAUUGAGUCAGAGUGCUUUUCAUACGAAAAGCUUUUGCCAAAUUUAAAAAGUUUGGCGAAUAAGGACUGGGUAAGACGAGUGCCAGCCGCCGCGGUAAUACUCGCGGUCCAAGUCGCAGCCAUUUUUAUUGGGUCUAAAACAUCCGUAGCUUGCUUGGUAAGUUUCUUGUGAAAUCUGGCUUCUUAAGAGUCAGGCGUGCAAGAAGUACUGCCAGGCUAGAGACUGGAAGACGUAAGAAGUACGUUCGAAGUAGCGGUAAAAUGUGUUAAUCUCGGACGGACUAACAAUAGCGAAGGCAUCUUACGAGGACAGUUCUGACAGUAAGGGAUGAAGGCUAGGGGCGCAAAACGGAUUAGAUACCCUAGUAGUC